AGCUCCAAUAGCGUAUAUUAAAGUUGUUGCGGUUAAAAGCUCGUAGUUGGAUUUCUGUCGAAGACGGUCGGUCCGCUCUAUGAGCGUGUAUCUGAUUCGGCUUUGGCAUCCUCGUGGGGAUCGUAACUGUGCUUGAUUGCAUGGUGCGGAAUUCACGACUUUUACUUUGAGGAAAUUAGAGUGUUCACGGCAGGCAAGCGCCUUGAAUAUAUUAGCAUGGAAUAAUAAUAUAGGACUUUGGUUCUAUUUUGUUGGUUUCUAGGACUGAAGUAAUGAUUAAUAGGGACAGUUGGGGGCAUUAGUAUUUAAUUGUCAGAGGUGAAAUUCUUGGAUUUAUGAAAGACUAACUACUGCGAAAGCAUUUGCCAAGGAUGUUUUCA
rnacentral:rRNA from 1 species